UUAAUGUCCAGGAGAGUGGCCCUCCGCAUGGAGGGUUGACUAGAGAUUUAUCGGUAUGGGAUGAGCUUGCGUCCGAUUAGCUAGUUGGCGGGGCAACGGCCCACCAAGGCGACGAUCGGUAGCCGGCCUGAGAGGGUGAUCGGCCACAUUGGGACUGAGAUACGGCCCAGACUCCUACGGGAGGCAGCAGUAGGGAAUAUUGCACAAUGGGGGAAACCCUGAUGCAGCAACGCCACGUGUGGGAAGAAGCAUUUCGGUGUGUAAACCACUGUCAUGAGGGAAUAAGGCCCGCCUCCGGGCGGGAUUGAAUGUACCUUGAGAGGAAGCACCGGCAAACUUCGUGCCAGCAGCCGCGGUAAUACGAGGGGUGCAAGCGUUGUUCGGAAUUACUGGGCGUAAAGGGAGCGUAGGCGGAGAUUCAAGCGGAUUGUACAAUCCCGGGGCCCAACCCCGGCUCUGCAGUCCGAACUGGAUCUCUUGGAUAGUUCAGGGGCAGGCGGAAUUCCUGGUGUAGCGGUGGAAUGCGUAGAGAUCAGGAAGAACACCGAUGGCGAAGGCAGCCUGCUGGGGACUUAUCGACGCUGAGGCUCGAAAGUGCGGGUAGCAAACAGGAUUAGAUGCCCUGGUAGUCCGCACCGUAAACAAUGCAUACUGGGUGUCCGGGGGUUCCCCCGGGUACCGUAGCCAACGCGUUAAGUAUGCCGCCUGGGGAGUACGUACGCAAGUAUGAAACUCAAAGGAAUUGUCGGGGGCCCGCACAAGCGGUGGAGCAUGUGGUUUAAUUCAAAGCAACGCGCAGAACCUUACCAGGGUUUGACAUGGGAACGCCGCGGCGAGAGAUAAUCACUA
rnacentral:rRNA from 1 species